rnacentral:lncRNA from 1 species
AGACUCUGUUGGCAGCUGGUGGGGGCAGAUGUUUUUCCCAGGCGGUGGUGAAAAUAUGCUUAGCAGGAGACAUGGCUGCGUUCUCACGAAGUGGGCCUGGUACCCCAUGAGCUUCUUGAAUGUUUGUUCUGCACUCAUCCAAUCCCUCAGAGCAGCCCAGUCAGGGAAGAAGAGUUUUCAAAACCCUCAAGGAGCUGUGGCCUCUCUUGCCCACAGCCAUCUGUGUAUCUACCUCUCCGCAGGUGCGGGUCUUGCUCCCCUACCUUUUUGUGUAUUGUGGAAGAUACUGUCAAAUUAGGGGUGGCUUAGGGUUGGGUAGAUGUUUCUGUGCUCUGUCUACCAUGAUUCUGUGUCUUGGCCAAAGAUAGGCGCAGAUAGACUCCACCAAUCCCAAUGCUUCCUAGCUCUGGACUCUGUCGCAUAAACUGGAAAAAGAACUUUAAAACACGCUCAGGAGCACAAUUGGCCUUCAGAGCCGUCCCUUUUAAAGAUUUACUCUAGUGCUGUAUACAGGGGUGUGCAGGAGUCCGCGCAUGCUACUUGUGAGAACCAAUUGUGUGCAUCUCUUCCCAACUGUUGUUUAUCACAUUAGUAGCUUAAGAUUGGCCAUUGUAGGAGUUUUACACCACAGAAAUAGCCGAACGCUACAAAUCAGGGUGGCUUUUUUUUUUUUUUAUGGAGAAAAAUCUACAGCAUACCAAUGGCUAUGCUUAAAACAACAUUUUAUUGUCUCUCCCAGUUUCUGUGGGACAGGAAAUUGAGAGGGGCUUGAUUAAAUGGUCCUGGGUCUCUUAUGCAGUUACAGUCAGACAGUGUGGCUGGGGCUGGGAGAGGGGGAGGGUGAGCAGCUGGGGGUUGACUGGGAAUCUCUCACCCUUUGUUGUCACGUGGUUUCUGCAUGUAGGAUAGCUUGGGCUUCCUCACAACAUGGCAGUCAGAACAGUCAGAGUGAUUCUCAGGGCUCCAGUUAGUUUUCUGUUGCCAUGGCAGAGCUGAAUUGCUUUAUGAUCUGGCUACUGAAGUCUGACAACAUUACUUCCACUGCAUUCUAUUGAGUACAUGUGAGUCAGAAGCCCAUCCUGUUUUAAGGGGAGAGGAAUUACACUCCACCUCUCAAUGGGUGAAUGGCAGGAAAGACCCUUCUUGCGCUUAGGAACACCAGACGGCACUUCAGCACUGUGCCUAGGGGCCAUUUUAAACAGCGAAAUCAUCAAGAAAAAAGCACAAAAAUGAGAAAAAUGUUGCACUAAACAGAGCAUGAAAGGACAUUUGCUCAUAGUGUGAGAGCUGAACAUGCACAUACGUGUUCAUCACUCUGCGCUUGUCUGUGAAUGACCGUGAACAUGCUGCAAGUCUUGAUUUGGGGGUUACAAGUUAAUUUUAUCAAGUAGAAGAAUUUGCCAACAUGGAAUUUAUGAACAAUGAGGAUCAAUUAUAUAUAUUUUUGGUGUCAGAGAAGAGCUCACGAUGGAACCCCGUACACUUGUUUGGGAGGGGAGUUCGGUUGUGUGCACCUAAAAUCUUUGAUGCUGGGAGUCCAACUUUGGAAACUUAUCUGGAGAAAAUUAUCAGGCAAAUGAGUGAAUGAUUGUGUACAAGGAUGUUCAUUUAUAAUUUAAUGAAACACUAUGCAAUCAUGAAAAUGCAUUGAUGAAUAUUUAUUAACAUGAAAAAUUUAUGAAAUGCAAAAUGAAAAUACAGUCAAACAAUAUACACAUCAUAGGCCCAUUUUUGUGAUUAAUAUAUUUUAUUUACGAUGUCUAAAACAGAUAUAUUUAGUUUAUAAUCCAGAUAUUUUCAAUUUCUGAGUAGAAAAAAUUCUGAAAUUAUAUAUAUUACUAAGGUACCAUGUCUGGGAGUUGGGAUUAUAGAACAAUUUAGUUUUGUUCUUUGUACUUUUCCGUGUUUUCUAAAUUUGUUUACAGUGAAAGAACUGCUUCUAUAAUUAGAAAUGUAUUGUUUCACAAUGAAGAUUUUUAAGGUUCUUACUCUCUGCCAGGCAUAGGGCUAAGUUCCUUAACUCUUGAAUUUUUAUUAAAAUUGUAUGAAACAAUCAUUUAUAUUUCACUAUUUAUAAUAAAAAUAGAAAAAACCUCAAGAUUCCCUAGCCUCAUUCCUCAGAUUUGGAAGGCCCUCGAAGGCCAGCUCCCCCCGACACAUCUUGCUGCCAUUCUGGGAACCGGAAUCAGAGGUGGAGACUCUGGCCCAAGUCCCCACUGCUCAGAAAAGUGCUG